rnacentral:tRNA from 1 species
GCGCCUGUGGCCUAAUGGAUAGGGCACUAGCCUCCGAAGCUGGUUGUACAGGUUCGAUCCCUGUCAGGCGCA